GAAUCUCUUGAGAGCACAAGAUUCCUUGGAACUCCAGUCCACACAGAUCAUUGUAAUAUGAUGGGGACUCAACUUUUAUUCCCCAUCAGUUCUAAAAGGAUCACGUACACUCUCGGAGAACAAAGAAUACCCACCACCACCACCACUCCAAGGUUUCUUCUUUCCUAAUUAGCUGUGUUUGGAGUUCAACAAGAAAAUCCCUCCAGGAACUCCUGGAGGCUGUGCAUUUACGCAGCUUGGAAAACGGCAAGAGAUACAGAGGAGCGGGUCUUAAACAGAAAUCCUAGCCUGAAGUCUGCCGUUAAGUUGUCUAACCUCUAUCAGUCACAACUAUCGAAUGCAUUCAUAACACCACAGUGUUUGGAACGCAAGAUCUAGAGAGAGCGCCAAGGAGCGCGCAAGGACGCCGCGGGCCUGGGCCCGCGCGUGCAAGCUAGGAUAGCUUG
rnacentral:lncRNA from 1 species